rnacentral:rRNA from 1 species
CCUACGGGUGGCAGCAGUGAGGAAUAUUGGUCAAUGGGCGCGAGCCUGAACCAGCCAAGUCGCGUGAGGGAGGACGGCCCUACGGGUUGUAAACCUCUUUUGCCGGGGAGCAACGGGCGUCACGUGUGGCGCCACUGAGAGUACCCGGAGAAAAAGCAUCGGCUAACUCCGUGCCAGCAGCCGCGGUAUUACGGAGGAUGCGAGCGUUAUCCGGAUUUAUGGGGUUUAAAGGGAGCGUAGGCGGGUUGUUAAGUCAGUUGUGAAAGUUUGCGGCUCAACCGUAAAAUUGCAGUUGAUACUGGCAUCCUUGAGUACAGUAGAGGUAGGCGGAAUUCGUGGUGUAGCGGUGAAAUGCUUAGAUAUCACGAAGAACUCCGAUUGCGAAGGCAGCCUGCUGGACUGUAACUGACGCUGAUGCUCGAAAGUGUGGGUAUCAAACAGGAUUAGAUACCCUAGUAGUC